UUGAGAAUAAUGUCGUACGCUUAAAAAACAUAAAUCAAUGUUGAAAAUAGCCUGCAUGUACUUCACACAAGCGAAUCCACAAAUAUAUUUUUAAACAAAUCUGAUAAUUGCCGAAUGAUGUUUUCCUUGAAAAAAAAAUUUAAGUCUGCCUGGAUUUUUCUAGUGCAUGAACAUGGUCUCAAUAGUCAAUACCAAAACUACUUGGAACGCAAACCAGGGAUAUUCCUGAGGCCCAUCUUGCCAAGGACGAGCUUGGGGAUGGCAGGCGGGUUAUCAAGUCCCAUACUUCGGCUGAACUCAUUAGCCAGCUCCACAAGCCUAUACUUGUCCCUACCCACC
rnacentral:misc_RNA from 1 species